UUUCCGUAGGUGAACCUGCGGAAGGAUCAUUAUCAAAACAGCGGACUUCGGUCCUUGCUGCACCCUUGUCUUUUGCGUACCGUAUGUUUCCUCGGCGGGCUUGCCUGCCGGUUGGACAACUUUAUAACCUUUUUGUAGUUGCAAUCAGCGUCAGAAACAAAACAAUAAUUACAACUUUCAACAACGGAUCUCUUGGUUCUGGCAUCGAUGAAGAACGCAGC
rnacentral:misc_RNA from 1 species